GCACGCGCGCUACGUCCCUCAGACUGGCUGCCCCCGAGGGUUCGCGUGAGCGGAGCACGGGGCUCGGGGUGCGGGGGGCUGGUGUGAUGGACGCAUUUGUUCUUCGGUCCCUGACGAUUGUUUCUCAUUUGCCCUCCAAGCCCCAAAUCCUGUCAGUCCACGGCCUUGAUGGAGCGGCCCCCGUGGGACGACCCUGUUGAUUGUGCUAGCGGAUGUUGUCUCCAUUCUGGAUCUGGGAAAAACUGUGGAGUGAAAGCCGGACCUGUUAGGGUUGGGACCUGAAAGCGGACUUUUUCGCUCUCAGACGGGCCCCAGGAAUUUCAUGUUUAACAGAGGUGUCUUCAAGGAGAUGAAACAAUUCAGAAUGACCUAGGCAAUGGGGUAAUUCCUAAGGCUCACCAGGAGAAAAUGAAUCCAAAUUAAGGGACAUUCUACAGAAUACCUGACCAACACUCCCUCCUAAAAACUGUCAAGGUCAUCAAGGAAUGUCUAGGAAGAAGGAAAGUCUGAGAAGUUGUCUCAGCCCAGAGGAGCCUUAAGAAGCCAUGACAGGUAGGGCGCGGUGGCUCACGCCUGUAAUCCCAGCACUUUGGGAGGUCGAGGUGGGCGGAUCAC
rnacentral:lncRNA from 1 species